rnacentral:rRNA from 1 species
UUGAACGCUGGCGGCAUGCCUUACACCUGCAAGUCGAACGGCAGCACGGGUGCUUGCACCUGGUGGCGAGUGGCGAACGGGUGAGUAAUACAUCGGAACAUGUCCUGUAGUGGGGGAUAGCCCGGCGAAAGCCGGAUUAAUACCGCAUACGAUCUACGGAUGAAAGCGGGGGACCUUCGGGCCUCGCGCUAUAGGGUUGGCCGAUGGCUGAUUAGCUAGUUGGUGGGGUAAAGGCCUACCAAGGCGACGAUCAGUAGCUGGUCUGAGAGGACGACCAGCCACACUGGGACUGAGACACGGCCCAGACUCCUACGGGAGGCAGCAGUGGGGAAUUUUGGACAAUGGGCGAAAGCCUGAUCCAGCAAUGCCGCGUGUGUGAAGAAGGCCUUCGGGUUGUAAAGCACUUUUGUCCGGAAAGAAAUCCUUGGCCCUAAUACGGUCGGGGGAUGACGGUACCGGAAGAAUAAGCACCGGCUAACUACGCG